CACGUAGGGUGCGAGCGUUGUCCGGAAUUAUUGGGCGUAAAGAGCUCGUAGGCGGUGUGUCGCGUCGGCCGUGAAAACCUGCAGCUUAACUGUGGGCGUGCGGUCGAUACGGGCAUCACUGGAGUUCGGCAGGGGAGACUGGAAUUCCUGGUGUAGCGGUGAAAUGCGUAGAUAUCGAGAGGAACACCAGAGGUGAAGACGGGUUGCUGGGCCGACACUGACGCUGAUAGCGCGAAAGCCAGGGGAGCAAACGGG
rnacentral:rRNA from 1 species